AAAUUCAUGCAUUUACUAAACCCACAAAAAAAUAAAUGUAGAGAGGCUUCAAGAGAAACAGCAGUGCAAGACACAAUCUCUGAUCAAUACAAUCACUACUGUCUAUUGUAUAAAGGCGGACCUGACAAAUAAAAUAACGCAGGUUCUGUAAUUCUAUCUGAUAUAAGUGUUUUGUAUGACAUUGUGCUAUGACUAACUAAAUGUUCCUGAUGGAAGAUAAC